rnacentral:lncRNA from 1 species
AUAAUAUGUAUGUAUGUAUGUAUUUACACUACACGACUUUUGCCUAAAACUGUCGCACGCAACUUUCUUACAACUUGAGUUGUACUGUGUAAAUCAAGCACACAACUGACUCACAUUGUCGUGCUGUUGUAGGUGAGUUGUGUACUUGAUUUACACAGUACAACUCAAGUUGUAAGCAGGUUGGACGCGACAGUUUUAGGCAAAAGUUGUGUAGUGUGCUAGCUUUUGAACUAAAAAAAACUGGCAAAGACCAAAGUGUAUACAAUUUUGUUCGUUCAACAAAGAAAAUUUGGGAAAGUAAUUUGAGCACUUGUAUAUGCGGUUGGUCAGUGAUCUAUUGUUAUAAUGAGCAAUAUAAAUAGCUAUCAUGGAGGUAAAAAAAAAACAAAAAAAAACUGAGUGACCUGUCAUAGAAAAUUUACCGAAAACACAUACGCACGUGCAGUUGACAAAAAAGAACUUGCCAUAUGAAAACUCGUUAUGGAAAACGUGCUCGUCAUUUUACUCACAAUUUUCAGAGUCAGUGCGCAUUAUUUUAGGAAGGUGUUUUCGUAUUCAAAUUGCACUUUUCCUACCUCCUAAACAGAUGUCUUAGGGGUGCUUUACGUGCUUAUGUGAUGGAAGGGGGAGGGGGAAAGGCAGCACGUUCCUUGUGAUAGUAACUUCUAGUUUUAGGAAUUGUUUUGCGGUGUGGUGACGUAAAACCACUACGUAAAACACAGGAAAAUCUGCGUCAUUCCAAUUGAAAAACGUCUUCAUUCACAUACCGAUAUUUCCGUGAUCCCCAAGGCUAUUGGUGACUUGGAAAAAGUUCAAACGUAAAUAGGCUACAUUAACAAAGACCUUUCUUAUGAGGUGUCAGCUUGUUUCGUCACCACUUGUUAAAUAUAUCCAAAAUCAUCUUAUAAAUACACGCGAUUGGUAAUCGCAUUUUGGCACCGUUAAUUAAUAUGCACAGAUGCGUUUUAGCGCCUCUCAUAAUAUACAUUAAUUAAGGCUGUUUUGCUUGUAAUGAUGUAAUGUUCUUAUUGUGGCUAUCCCGGAUUCCCCUUAUAUGCCGCUCAUACAAAAGCUUUUUCCUUUGCUUAUUUUUUGCCGGCUUGUGAUGCAUGCUGGCUUGUCCACUUUGCAAACACAAACAUUUCUCCCAUCCUUGUAGCCAUGUGCAUUUUUCAUUAAAAGACGAAAGCCUUGACCCCUAAAGUUUAAUUCUUAUUUGUGACGCAAACAUAAGUGAACAAAAAUAACAACUAAUGACUUUUUCCUCCGAGGCUUUAUACGAAGAAACUUUUUUUUGGAAUGCAUAUAUUGCCACUACAACUGUGCGACACUAACAAGUUGUCAAACUGGAUGUCAUGCUGUAUUUUAACAGAAAAACAUUGCUCAAAGACUUUGGUCAAAGACUUUGCCUAGAAGCGUGGCAUAUAAAUAUGAGUAAUCAUGCUUUGAAUAGGGAUGACGGUGCCUAUUUGCCAGAGGAAUAUAUGCAUCUCAUUGGCAGGUGACGUCAUCCCUUGGGUAUUUAAGAAGCCACGAUUGCAAUUUUAGAUCACCCCUGACGAAGACACUAGACUGGAGUGUCGAAACGUUGGGUCUUGAUUACAAUUCGACUGGGCUUUGUAAUCAUUUAUUUAAACCAGAGUAGCGAGCGAAACAUGUUUGAUAUACCUGGUUGCAGUGAACGAACAAACUUUCAAGAAAAACAUUUCAGUGCACAGAGAAUCGUAAUCCCAACUACUUAAUUAAUUUUGAUCCAGUCCAAAGACUGAAUUAAUUUUGAUUUAGUCCUAGGACUGGAGCAAUAUACUUCAUCAGGUAUCCAGUAUUAUCAUGUGAGCAAAAUAAAACAACAUGGUUGGCUAAUUUACUCAUGAAUGAGAUGUACACGAGAGCGCAACUCGAGUGUUUUAUAUCUGAUAAAGCACGGCAGGGCAUUUUUUAACUAUAUAACUACUGGGGCAUUUACCCCAGUAGGCCCUUUGCUUGCCCCAGUAGUGAAGCAUGAUUUUCAGACGAGUUGGGCCCUUUUGAUCAUUAGUAAAAGGUUAACCUUGUUGAAAAUGCUGCAUCUGCCUGCUUUCUCAUAUCCUCUCACAUUCUCAACAUUAAUUCCCUCUCAGAGUAAAAGUCAGCACAGGCAGAGGCGGUACUCCCCAAUCGUCAGAUAGUCGGCAAAUUAUCUAAUACCAGCCGGAUGAAAAUAAAUACUAAUUAGCGUUUGAAAUUAGUAGGCAAUAUUUCACUUACACCCCCCCUCCCCCGUAUUUAAAUAGCAGUGAUUUUUAUGUACCCGUAUAUAAAACUGUGUGGGAAAAGGCCCUCAAGCCCCAGUAGUUGUAUUUUUUUUAAAAAAUGCCCUGAAGCACGGACUUCGAAUCUGUUAAAUGACUUAAAAACGACCCAUUUGAUGAGUUCAUUGGCGAAGUAAUUUUAAAACUAAACGUUGUCUAAGUCGAGAAAAUCAAAGCUAAAGUUUAUGUAAAUCAACAUGAUUUUUUAUCACAUAUUAAAACCACCGACAUGGCAAUGAUUUCGUAUUUUCCUCAUGAAUUAUUAAUGCCUUUUUGAGGCACUUAUAAUUGCAUUUGUGAGGUUAUGUCUACAGAACAGGCAACAUUCUUUCUGUUGGUUAGAAUUUUUCCUCUGAAUUUCCCAUUUAUCUAAAUUAUUUCAAUUAUUUUUUUUCUUUCUUGGAAAAUAUUUUCUGAGAAUUCGAACAUUUCCCGUGAUCUUUUUUCCACACCUGUGAGGGAUGUUAGGAUGGUUUGAAACGUGCAAUGCUUGCGUUCAGGAAAACCUUGGCAUAUAAACAGCAUCACCCUAGCACGCAUUGUUUGUUUCACACGGUGCGUAAGUACCUUUCUUGCUGUUUCGCCCCCGUAAUUGUUCAGUAAUGGUUUCAGGAAAUGACUAGAACGUCAUCACGAAAUAACAAACAUGUGUUAGGGAGAGCCCCGUGACAUCCUGUUUUGAUAUGGCUAACCCGCUGUAGUCAUGCGAUCAUAUGAUAAUGCACGCGUGUACAUUGUCAUACCCUUUCAUUGACGAGUUUUGUGCGGAUGGAAAUUUCCACCGAAACUAUAAACUCUCUGCCAGGAAUCGAACCGGCGGCCCUGUGAUUCUGGUGCAGUGCUCUAACCAACUGAGCUACAGAGGCCACUCAGGCCAGUUGUCGAGCUCUAACCAACUGAGCUACAGAGAGACAGUUGUCAAGUUCUAACCAACUGAGCUAGAGAGAGACAGUUGUCGAGCUCUAACCAACUGAGCUACAGAGAGAC